AGUUUUUGCAUGAUGAGGCUGCGAUAUGGGGAGCUGGCCAGGCUGUGAGGGACGGAGCAGAGUUGGCUUGUGGCUCCUUGUGGCCCCCUCCAGCAGCUUCCUCCUCACAGUCUGCACAGCUCUCCGUCUCUUGUCCUCUUUUCAGCCACUUUUGGAUACUUUGGAGGUGUUUUCGUUGCUUCGAAUGCGUCAUGGUUGCAAGUGACUGUUAUUUGACUUGGACUGCAAGGUUCUGAAUUUUCCCUGGUCUGUUCACCGCCUGUUUUGUUCAUGAUAAUGUAUCAUCUGCGUUUGGUGUUGUAACACUGUAUCUCAGUGAAUGGUGGUUCAGUUGUGGAGCAAGUGGUGAACCUGCAACUUGGUCUAAACUAAACACGCUUGUAGCAUCACAUGUUGAAUCUAUGCACAUUUAUCCCGUCCACACGUCGUCUGAAGGAAACGAAGACUUAGGAAUUCUUCAGUCUUGGCUUGAAGGAAUCUGGAAGUCUCCAGGGAUAAUCCACGUAGUCAUUCGUUAUAACCGCCGUUUGCGUGCCAGCCAGUUGUCUUGCAGAAUCUCUUACAUGAAUUUUCACAGUCCUGUAUGCUCGUGAUAUGCUUCUUGUUGGGUUGAAACUUUGCAGCUUAAACAAACCAUAUUCUCCAAUCCAGCUGUGAGUACACAAGUUUUCGUGACAUUGUCUGAACCUUACCUAGCGUUUUUAUUCACUGUCAUCCACUUGUUCUCAAAUACCACUCAGGUUGUUCCUUAAUUCCACAGUGGCAGUUUCUGUCAGCUACGCUUAUUCAAAGUAGGUAGCGACCAGUGUAACAUGUGACUCAUGUGGGUUAUGAACCCACGUCAGAGUUGCGUCUGCACAGGUUAAGUUGGAUAUUUUUGUACCAAGAGGAGUGCUUAGAAAGGGGUACGUAGAGGAUACUGGCUUGAGUGCGAUAUUCGGAACACUGACUGAGUUCAUCAUAGCCGCUGGAGUGGAGGUUGUGCACCAAGUCUGUAGUUCAUCUCAGGGGAUAAAGCAAUCUCUCAAAUUGGUCUAGACGAUUUAAAGCGUCUCACUGUGGUCAAUUUUUUCGUAAGAUGUGACACAUUCAGCAGGGAGCAUUUGUGCGCUUUUGCACUGUAAAGCAAGUCACAAAUUGCAGAUAAUGACGCGCAACACAUUUGAAAGCAUUUCACGCCACAAUAGAGGUCAUAUCCUGGUGUGCGGUGCACAAGCGAGAAAGAUCGGAAGUGACUUUGUCAGGAUGUUGUUAGACUUGAUAAUGACCAUGACCUGGGCAUGUUUUAACUCCAGAUCUCAGCUAUUGGUUUCUGGUGUGCAUGUUCGCCAAAUUUAGAUAGUUUUCCUUUGUGACCCGAGGCUCCGGCUUGGACGUUACUCUCAGAAUAACUUCCACACAAUCUAUCAUAUGAUUGGGUAGCUAAUUGAACAAACUCCUGGAUUACACAGGGUGCUUAUCAUUAGUAAUUGUCAACUCUAUCUGGCUGAAACAACUAUAGUCAGCAUAGGAGAUGAGGAGUAGCGUCUUGCUACUUUCCGAUUUACAGUAUCACGUUUCGUGUGUUCGAUUGGUGUCCUAUCUACACGUAACCGAGUGGGGCUCAUGCAGAGACGUUUUCGCCGAGGCGUCGUUUGACGUAUCGCCGUCGUUUCGGCGCCGUGGAUUCAUGGUCCUUGAAUUGGCUUAUUGAUGUCAAACUUAGCACCAUCCAAACCCUAUCUUGUAGAGUGAAGUAAACAGCGGUUGUGUAAACACGACCGUGGCACCCUACUCUCAUGUCAGUACCCAGUCAGAUAUGUGCAUGACAGCCCUUCACCAUUCUCUCCGGCUGGCUUCCUUGUCUUGGUGGAUUGCAGGUUCAUCUAAUCGCAUCAUACAGUUGUUGCUUCGUGUCCGCUCAUAUUUUCAAAGAAACUUGCAGGUGCUACAGCCAUCAUUGAAACACGGAAGAAUCUGAGCACGUCGAGACAGACUUUUCAACAAUCAUGACAUGGGGCCCGACGGCUGCAGAUGCUCACUUAUUUACACGGUGUGAUUGCAAUCGGCUGGCAGACUGCACAACUUGCAGAAUGCCCUGGCAUUCUGGUGAAUGAGUACAGUUUCUAGUAUCACUAAGCAUCUAACUUUCGCAUCUAGUCGAAAUCGAGGUAUGUAAAACUUGUAAUCCAUACUUGAAUAGUUGGACUUAUGCACGUCUUCUCUCAUCGCUGAUGGCCACUGUUAUUCAGGCAAAUUGCUUUAGGAAUGCUUUGCAUUGAACUGAUUUCAUAGCAACUUUCAUUUCUAUUUUAACAACUUUGCUUCCAAGCCAAUACAUGCAAGGCUUCAAGCAGAGAAAGUCCUGAUUUGAAACCAAAUAUUUAUAGUAGUAUACACAUUUUUGGGCGAUUCUAGUCAGGUUUGUGAAUUCUUAUCAAUACUUGUGAUGCAUGGAUCAAUCAAUGCAAUUAAGCUUGUGUAUGCAUGGAUCAAUGCUGUAAUUAUUUGUCUAGACAUCUGUUAAUUUUUAUUCAUUGCAAAGAAGGUUAUCUAUUGAGACCUUGCAAAAAAUUUCAAAGAAGGAAUUGAUUUUAAAUAUUAUAAGUCCAUCAAACAUUUAAAAACAACUAUUUAUAAUGCAUGACUUUGAAAAAAAAAAAAAAAAAAAAAAAACAAUUGAGACUUCUAACAUAAUGAUUGAAUUGCAUGAAAUGCUUUUUAUUGAAAUCAUGAAUUCUUUGUGCAUUUAGUUUUUAUUUUAAAUUUAGAUUACUGAGAUUCAUAAAACAGUUUAAUAUUGUGUUUUGCAUGUCAAUCUUCUCUCUUGUUUCAAUACUAAUAUUGUUUUCAUUCAAACCAAUCAAGUCAAAAAAAUUGGAUUUUCAUUUAAACUAUGUAAAACCUAAUAUGGAAUCGAUAUUAACAUCAAGAUCAGCUUAAUUCAAUCUUGAAUUUUUUGCAAAAGUUAUAUUAUUUUCUGUUGUGAUUAUGAAGGAUAUCAGGUUAGAAACAAUGUGUGAGGUCUCCAAACCAACGUCUGAAGCCUAAGCUGAUGGGAAACCAAUUCCACAUGCUAGACAAAUUCAUUUGCUUUACCAAAACUGUUCAAAAGUAUGGGCCGUCAUGAACCACACACAACAUGGCGUAUUGACAUGGCUUAUUGACAGCACCCACAAAGCCAGGCUUUACAGCGACUUAGUACCAUGAAGAGCUUUAGAGUACAAAACUCAUACCAUAUGAACCAGAGUCUGAGGUAUUACACAACGUGUCUACACAGCGUCUGUUUAUCUAACGCUGCUAGUUAGGGUUCCGAUUUCUGUUAACCUGGCGUAGAGAAGACCAAUUCAAGAAUCUUGAUUUCAGGGAGACAAAGCAGUGAUAUCUGUGCGUAUGCCCCACUCUCUAGACACGAAAGCCGAUGCAACAUGACAAUAUAAAGCAGAAAGUGGCCAACUUCUUCUCAUUA